rnacentral:rRNA from 1 species
GACGAACGCUGGCGGCGGGCUUAACACAUGCAAGUCGAACGGAAAGGCCCUGCGUUUGUGGGGUGCUCGAGUGGCGAACGGGGGAGUAACACGUGAGUAACCUGCCCUUGACUUUGGGAUAACUUCAGGAAACUGGGGCUAAUACCGGAUAGGAGCUCCUGCUGCAUGGUGGGGGUUGGAAAGUCUCGGCGGUUGGGGAUGGACGCGCGGCUUAUCAGCUUGUUGGUGGGGUAGUGGCUGACCAAGGCUUUGACGGGUAGCCGGCCUGAGAGGGUGACCGGCCACAUUGGGACUGCGAUACGGCCCAGACUCCUACGGGAGGCAGCAGUGGGGAAUCUUGCACAAUGGGCGGAAGCCUGAUGCAGCAACGCCGCGUGCGGGAUGACGGCCUUCGGGUUGUAAACCGCUUUCGCCUGUGACGAAGCGUGAGUGACGGUAAUGGGUAAAGAAGCACCGGCUAACUACGUG